GGAUAGACUGCCAGGAAGUCAAUCCAAAGUUCACAGUUGAUGUGGUGUGCUUGGUUGCUGCUUUGGAACUUGGACAGAUAUUCUCUUCUGCAUGUAAAAUCACCAACAGGGAAGCAGCAGCAUCUUGAGAAGAGGUGGAAAUGGAGAAAUUCAGUAAUCGACUAUACCAUACUUAGUAGGUACAAGGAAGUAAAUUCUGAAAAAGUGAGAUAACAGAAAUGAUGAAGACUGCAGUAUGAAUUCUGGAGUAGACAUGAAUGGACUAGAGUGAAAAAUAGGUGGUGGAAAAGCUGGUAGGCCAUGCAAUGAAAAGCAUACAGACUGAACCGUGGACCUGAUGACAGAAGAGGAGAAAUAGUAUUUCCAGUUACAUAUCAAAGGAGAAGAUAAUUGGUAUGAAGACCCCAUCCAGAAAGAAGUUACCUUAAAGCCAGAGUUCAGAAAGUCUGGUGGCUGCCUGUUGGUCUAUCACCUCAGCUUCUAUCAAUACAGAAGAAGAAAACAAGUCUUUCCUGUUCAGGAAUAGGGAAGUAAUUGUCCCCCUGUACUCAACACUGGUGAGGCCGCACCUCGAGUACUGUGUCCAGUUUUGGGCCCCUCACUGUAAGAAAGACAUCGAGGCCCUGGAGCAUGUCCAGAGGAGGGCAACAAAGCUAGUGAGGUGUCUGGAGCACAGGCCUUAUUAGGAGCGGUUGAGGGAGCUGGGAUUGUUCAGUCUGGAGGAGAGGAGGCUCAGGGGAGACCUUAUUGCUCUCUAGAACUACCUGAAGGGAGGGUGUAGCGAGCUGGGGGUCAGCCUCUUCUCUCGGGUGACUAGUGAUAGGACUAGAAGGAAUGGAUUCAAACUGCGCCAGGGGAGGCUCAGGCUGGACGUUAGGAAAUACUACUUAUCUGAAAGGGUGGUCAGGCACUGGAAUGGGCUGCCCAGAGAG
ensembl:lncRNA